UAUUUGCCAUGAUGAGUACUAUUAGGACGGUAUCUGAAGGGGGUAGCUUUUAAGUGUACUCUUCUGAUUAUACCAAGACUGGAUAUGGUUUCUGAGCAAAUC
rnacentral:snoRNA from 2 species